rnacentral:rRNA from 1 species
AGUUUGAUCCUGGCUCAGAGUGAACGCUGGCGGUAGGCCUAACACAUGCAAGUCGAACGGCAGCACAGGAGAGCUUGCUCUCUGGGUGGCGAGUGGCGGACGGGUGAGGAAUACAUCGGAAUCUACUUUUUCGUGGGGGAUAACGUAGGGAAACUUACGCUAAUACCGCAUACGACCUACGGGUGAAAGCAGGGGAUCUUCGGACCUUGCGCGAUUGAAUGAGCCGAUGUCGGAUUAGCUAGUUGGCGGGGUAAAGGCCCACCAAGGCGACGAUCCGUAGCUGGUCUGAGAGGAUGAUCAGCCACACUGGAACUGAGACACGGUCCAGACUCCUACGGGAGGCAGCAGUGGGGAAUAUUGGACAAUGGGCGCAAGCCUGAUCCAGCCAUACCGCGUGGGUGAAGAAGGCCUUCGGGUUGUAAAGCCCUUUUGUUGGGAAAGAAAUCCAGCUGGCUAAUACCCGGUUGGGAUGACGGUACCCAAAGAAUAAGCACCGGCUAACUUCGUGCCGUUACUCGGAAUUACUGGGCGUAAAGCGUGCGUAGGUGGUCGUUUAAGUC